CCAGUACAAUGUAUUGGGAUGACAAAUAUGGCACCCACACUGUUUCAUCAGAGUGAACCAAAUUGGUUGUAGGUCAUCUCAAGUAUGAGAAUAAUGAUGACAGAAGACUCGAACAAUGCAGUGAGCAGUUCUUUCUUGUUGGAUGAUGAUUCAAGCAUUCCAUUUUCGGUGGAUGACAUCUCAAAGUCAAUG